rnacentral:rRNA from 1 species
UACGUAGGGGGCAAGCGUUGUCCGGAAUUACUGGGCGUAAAGGGCUCGUAGGCGGCCAACUAAGUCGGAUGUGAAAUCCCCAAGCUUAACUUGGGAACUGCAUCCGAUACUGGAUGGCUUGAAUCCGGGAGAGGGAUGCAGAAUUCCUAGGUGUAGCGGUGAAAUGCGUAGAGAUGGGGGAGAACACUCGUGGCGAAGGCGGCCAGCUAGACCAGUUCUGACACUGAGGCGCGACAGCGUGGGGAGCAACAGGAUAGAACCUUAGUAG